GCAUGGGGGGAACCCUGACCCAGCAACGCCGCGUGGAGGAAGAAGGUUUUCNUNAAANUAAACUCCNGAANUUGGAGACGAGUAGAAGACGGUAUCCANUNAGGAAGCCCCGGCUAACUACGUGCCAGCAGCCGCGGUAAAACGUAGGUCACAAGCGUUGUCCGGAAUUACUGGGUGUAAAGGGUGCGUAGGCGGCUUUGCAAGUCAGAUGUGAAAUCUAUGGGCUCAACCCAUAGCCUGCAUUUGAAACUGCAGAGCUUGAGUGAAGUAGAGGCAGGCGGAAUUCCCCGUGUAGCGGUGAAAUGCGUAGAGAUGGGGAGGAACACCAGUGGCGAAGGCGGCCUACUGGGCACCAACUGACGCUGAGGCUCGAAAGUGUGGGUAGCAAACAGGAUUAGAUACCCUGGUAGUCCAAGGGCGAAUUC
rnacentral:rRNA from 1 species